rnacentral:rRNA from 1 species
AGCGAACGCUGGCGGCAGGCCUAACACAUGCAAGUCGAACGAACCUUUCGGGGUUAGUGGCGGACGGGUGAGUAACACGUGGGAACGUGCCUUUAGGUUCGGAAUAACUCAGGGAAACUUGUGCUAAUACCGAAUGUGCCCUUCGGGGGAAAGAUUUAUCGCCUUUAGAGCGGCCCGCGUCUGAUUAGCUAGUUGGUUGAGGUAAUGGCUCACCAAGGCGACGAUCAGUAGCUGGUCUGAGAGGAUGAUCAGACACAUUGGGACUGAGACACGGCCCAAACUCCUACGGGAGGCAGCAGUGGGGAAUCGUGCGCAAUGGGCGAAAGCCUGACGCAGCCAUGCCGCGUGAAUGAUGAAGGUCUUAGGAUUGUAAAAUUCUUUCACCGGGGACGAUAAUGACGGUACCCGGAGAAGAAGCCCCGGCUAACUUCGUG